rnacentral:lncRNA from 1 species
CCUUCUCUUUUAAUAAUAAUUGAUUUUUUAGUUUUAAAUCUCUAUUUUUCAAACUAACUUUCUUUAAUUUAUCAAGCGAUUCAUAAAAAGCAUCUUGAAGCUCAUCAAAUUAAUGUAAAAUCUAAAAUAUAUUUGUAUUAUACCUCAUCCUCUUAUGCCAUGAGACAUAAGUUUACAAUAUUCUAAUUUUCUUCAUCGGUGCUAGAAUCUUCAUUAUCACUCCAUGUUGCAAUCAUAGCUUUCUUCUUUGUCUUCUUAAGGUUCUUCUUUAAACUUGGACAAUCGAUUUUGAAGUGCCUGAUUUUUUUAUAC